rnacentral:rRNA from 1 species
CAGACGGCUCAGUAACACGUAGUCAACCUAACCUGUGGACGUGGAUAAUCUCGGGAAACUGAGGAUAAACCACGAUAGAUAACGGUGCCUGGAAUGGCCCAUUGUCCAAACAGUUUACUGCCACGGGAUGGGACUGCGGCCUAUCAGCUUGUUGGUGAGGUAAUGGCCCACCAAGGCUAUAACAGGUACGGGCUCUGAGAGGAGAAGCCCGGAGAUGGGUACUGAGACACGGACCCAGGCCCUAUGGGGCGCAGCAGGCGAGAAACCUUAGCAAUGUGCGAAAGCACGACUGGGUUAGUCCGAGUGAUUCCUGCUAAAGGAAUCUUUUGCCGGUCCUAAAAGCACCGGUGAAUAAGGGGUGGGCAAGUCUGGUGUCAGCCGCCGCGGUAAUACCAGCACCUUGAGUGGUCGGGGCGAUUAUUGGGCCUAAAGCAUCCGUAGCCGGUUCCGUAGGUCCUCUGUUAAAUCCAACCGCUUAACGGUUGACCUGCAGAGGAUACCGCGGGACUAGGAGGCGGGAGAGGCGGACGGUACUCCGCGUGUAGGGGUAAAAUCCUUUGAUCCGCGGAAGACCACCAGUGGCGAAGGCGGUCCGCCAGAACGCGCUCGACGGUGAGGGAUGAAAGCUGGGGGAGCGAACC